GCCUGGGUGGCUCAGUCAGUUGAGCGUCUGACUUUGGCUCAGGUUAUGAUCUCGAGGUUUGUGAGUUCGAGCCCCAUGUCGGGCU
rnacentral:tRNA from 1 species